rnacentral:misc_RNA from 1 species
GUAAAUAUUUUCUUGCCAUGCAAUGGAGAUGGAUUCAAGCUCCAAGUCCCAGCCAAAUGGAACCCCAGCAAAGAAGUUGAGUACCCUGGUCAGGUUCUCAGAUAUGAAGACAACUUUGAUUCCACAAGUAAUCUUAUUGUUGCAGUUACUCCAACUGACAAGAAGUCCAUCAUCGACUACGGCUCCCCUGAAGAGUUCCUCUCUAAAGUGGACUAUCUGCUAGGAAAGCAAGCUUACUUUGGUAAAACUGAUUCAGAGGGAGGAUUUGAAUCUGGUGCAGUGGCAACUGCUAACCUGUUGGAGGCAUCAAGCGCAACAGUGGGAGGAAAAGAGUACUACUACUUGUCAGUAUUGACAAGAACUGCAGAUGGAGAUGAAGGUGGAAAGCACCAGUUGAUCACAGCCACAGUGAAUGAUGGCAAACUUUACAUUUGCAAGGCACAAGCUGGUGACAAGAGAUGGUUUAAGGGUGCUAAAAAGUUUGUGGAGAAUGCUGCCACUUCUUUCAGUAUUGCUUAAGAAUGGGAAAACUAAAGAAAACCAUUAUUUAAGUUUGUAUGUACUUAGUUCUUCCCCCCUCUACAAAACAUAUGGUGCUGAGAUGAGUUGCUUAAUUGGACUUCUUUUUUGCUCUUUCCAACCAAUCCCAAAAAUGUUUUUAGACAUGUUUCAAGUACUGUUGGAGGAAGCUUAAUGUUAAUAAUUUCAUAA